rnacentral:rRNA from 1 species
AUUGAACGCUGGCGGCAGGCUUAACACAUGCAAGUCGAGCGGGGGAAGGUAGCUUGCUACUGGACCUAGCGGCGGACGGGUGAGUAAUGCUUAGGAAUCUGCCUAUUAGUGGGGGACAACAUCUCGAAAGGGAUGCUAAUACCGCAUACGUCCUACGGGAGAAAGCAGGGGAUCUUCGGACCUUGCGCUAAUAGAUGAGCCUAAGUCGGAUUAGCUAGUUGGUGGGGUAAAGGCCUACCAAGGCGACGAUCUGUAGCGGGUCUGAGAGGAUGGUCCGCCACACUGGGACUGAGACACGGCCCAGACUCCUACGGGAGGCAGCAGUGGGGAAUAUUGGACAAUGGGGGGAACCCUGAUCCAGCCAUGCCGCGUGUGUGAAGAAGGCCUUAUGGUUGUAAAGCACUCUAAGCGAGGAGGAGGCUACUCUAGUUAAUACCUAGGGAUAGUGGACGUUACUCGCAGAAUAAGCACCGGCUAACUCUGUGCCAGCCGCCGCCGUAA